UAGCACGAUGCUAUUACAGCUCAGGGCAUUCCGGAGUUCAAUUCCGGUGCUGUUCUGUAAGGAGUCUCUGUAUGUCCUCACAUGGAAUGCAUGAGUUUUCUCUGGGUCCUCUGGUUUCCUCCCACAGACCAAAGACCUACCUGGUAAUGCGAAGCCCAGGCACUCUGUUGCAGACUGCCUGCAGUGUUCUGUGUUGGAACCGUCUGCAUUGCUCAUCGCACACGGAAUUCAAGGCUGCAACCCGGCAGCGGCAAAGGCCCAAAUCUCCAUCAAAGCCCUGGUAAUCUGCAGGAGAAGUACAAACCUGGAAAGUAAUGGAACAUCCCAUGACUAAUAACAUACUGUAAGAGUCGCCAAAACAGCACAGCAUAUAAUCGCUUGGCAAGCCUACACACCUCCUGGAUCUAUACAAAUUAGUAGUGAUUGAGUGGGUGCCUGUGGUGAACUACAUAUACCUGUCUGGACACACCCACUGCUGACUGCUCCUGUGGCUCCUCCCACAGACCCCGGUAUAAAGGCCAUUGAGGCCUGAGCCCGGCCUCUCAGUCUCCAGGAUGUAGUACGGUGGUCAACCACUGCUUGUUCCUUCUUCCAGUCAAUAAAAGCCGAUA